UACGAAGGGGGCUAGCGUUGCUCGGAAUCACUGGGCGUAAAGCGCACGUAGGCGGGUCUUUAAGUCAGAGGUGAAAUCCUGGAGCUCAACUCCAGAACUGCCUUUGAUACUGAGGAUCUUGAGUUCGGGAGAGGUGAGUGGAACUGCGAGUGUAGAGGUGAAAUUCGUAGAUAUUCGCAAGAACACCAGUGGCGAAGGCGGCUCACUGGCCCGAUACUGACGCUGAGGCACGAAAGCGUGGGGAGCAAACAGG
rnacentral:rRNA from 1 species